GUUUUGAUUAUGGAGCCGUUCGCGCCAUUGGGGUCAGAAUGUCACUCAUCCACGCAAGUUACUGCGUUUGCGGUUUUUUGGUCAUGGUCUGUCAUGUCACAUAUAGGGUCCAGCUGACAGAGGUUGCUUUAAAACGUUAGUUUGGCAGAACCCAGUCGGAGGAGUCGCAAUAAGAGACUACAACAACGGCUAACAAAUAUGCCCCGAGUUUCAACCAACCGACACAAAGGCUACAAGUACCAAGCCGAAAACCUGGGAAUUAUAUCUGGUUAAAGUUGUACGCGAAAUGGAUUAAAUGGACGGGUUAAUUUGGACAACAGAAACUAUUAAUGUGGCAACAGGAGCCCAAAUGCCUUAAAAGCACGACCGCGCCGCCGAAUAUACAUCCGGUAUUUUGUGCGCAUUGGGGACGGCAGGGGGAUAUGCAGGUGCCACGGCGUGCGUAAAGGCAACGGGACUGUCAUACCGCCGUAUGCUCUGGGCUCUGCAAGCGCUGGCCAAGGAAUGUAUCGUCGAGGUCCUCAUCUUGGAACCGUUCCUGGCCAGCCUCAGAGCUUUGUUGUGGUUAGGAUUCCCCCCACAGCUAAGGAGGCUUACCAAUGGACAUACCUUCUGGAACACGCGCAACUGAGACUUCGUUCAUGACAGCCUGAGUUCAGAGGGGCUUUACCUACUACCGAGGACUAACACUCCGUGCCCGGCUCUUCAAAGCCCGGCUCCUGUCAUACGGAGAACCAGAGUUUGCACAGCGCUUUGGUGGUAUAAGUGUAUGGUGAAACCUUGCUGUGCCCUCGAAAAAAAAGCCCUGGAUCUAAAUCCAUGAAAGCCUACACACUGUCACACCAUUACCGUUUGCGGCCCAAGAAACGGCUCCGUUCAGGAGCAGAACACGGACAUUGAGGGACCAAAUGCUCGCCCCCGUCGUCUUUUAGGUUUCGUCCUUUUUAAGGUUUCGUGAAACACGUGCAUAGA